rnacentral:rRNA from 1 species
CGCCCCCGGGCCCGCGCCCGCCGAAGACCCCUCGAACGCUGCCUUGAAGGUUGCCUUCUGAGUAUUAAAUUAAUUGUUAAAACUUUCAACAACGGAUCUCUUGGUUCCGGCAUCGAUGAAGAACGCAGCGAAAUGCGAUAAGUAAUGUGAAUUGCAGAAUUCCGUGAAUCAUCGAAUCUUUGAACGCACAUUGCGCCCCCUGGCAUUCCGGGGGGCAUGCCUGUCCGAGCGUCAUUGCUAACUCUCCAGCCCGGCUGGUGUGUUGGGCCGUCGUCCCCUCCGGGGGACGGGCCCGAAAGGCAGCGGCGGCGCCGCGUCCGGUCCUCGAGCGUAUGGGGUUUUGUCACGCGCUCUGGUAGGCCCGGCCGGCUUGCUGGCCAACGACCUCACGGUCACCUAACUUCUCUCUUAGGUUGACCUCGGAUCAGGUAGGGAUACCCGCUGAACUUAAGCAUAUCAAUAAGCGGAGGAAAAGAAACCAACAGGGAUUGCCCUAAUAACGGCGAGUGAAGCGGCAAGAGCUCAAAUUUGAAAUCUGGCUCCUCCGGGGCCCGAGUUGUAAUUUGCAAAGGAUGCUUCGGGUGCGGUCC